GAGAGGAGAGAGCAGGAGCUGUUGGAGGCACGGGCCCAAAUGAAAACAAUGUCCGAGCAAAUACAACGACUCACCCGAGCGGUCACAUCAGUAGAGGCCAGACACCGCAGGAAAAAUGUGCGGAUUCGCGGGGCGCCCGAGAGCGUGGGCCCAGAUGCUAUCCUCGAAUUUGCCAACGCAGCGGUGGCAGCACUAGGAGUGAGACCCACAGUGGGUGCAUCACCCUUCAUGACCGCUUUCCGAAUAUGGAAGGCCCCAACCGCCCCGCGGACGCACCCAGGGACAUCAUAGCGAUUACCAGGGACAUAUCUGUUAAAUCUGCAAUCCUGACCCGAUCAAGAAGCACCCCCACCGUCGUGAUGG